CGGGAAAAGCUCAAAUUUAAAAUCUGGCGGUCCUUGGCCGUCCGAGUUGUAAUCUAGAGAAGUGUUACCCGCGCUGGACCAUGUACAAGUCUCCUGGAAUGGAGCGUCAUAGAGGGUGAGAAUCCCGUCUCUGACAUGGACUACCAGGGCUUUGUGGUAUGCUCUCAAA
rnacentral:rRNA from 1 species